rnacentral:rRNA from 1 species
CCACUAGGGGGGCGGAGAGUCGUCUGACCUUUUAGCGGGUGAUUCGUCCACCACUGGGGACUUAGCCCAGGGCCCCAGACUCCGUUCGGGACGCCAGCCGUUUGGGAAUCUUCCCGCAAUGGGACGAAAGUUUUAACGGAGCCAUCGCCGCGUGAGUGUUGUACGGUUUUUCGGGUGCAUAAAAAUCGGUUCACAUGGAAUUAACAAAUUGCCUGUUGUAUAAGCUGGGCACCCCGGCUGUACAUAACCCUAAAAGGCCCCGGUCAAGUACGUGUCCCCUCAGCCUUUAAAAAACAUCUGGGGCACGUUUUCUCCGAAUUUAUUGGGGAUAAAGCGCGCCCAGGUGGUUUUUUAAGUGGGAUGUGAAAGCCCUCGGCUCAACCGUGGAGGGUCAUUGGAAACUGGGAGACUUGAGUGCAGAAGAGGAAAGUGGAAUUCCAUGUGUAGCGGUGAAAUGCGUAGAGAUAUGGAGGAACACCAGUGGCGAAGGCGACUUUCUGGUCUGUAACUGACACUGAGGCGCGAAAGCGUGGGGAGCAAACAGGAUUAGAUACCCUGGUAGUCCACGCCGUAAACGAUGAGUGCUAAGUGUUAGAGGGUUUCCGCCCUUUAGUGCUGAAGUUAACGCAUUAAGCACUCCGCCUGGGGAGUACGGCCGCAAGGCUGAAACUCAAAGGAAUUGACGGGGGCCCGCACAAGC